CGGGGUUUGGCGCAGCUUGGUAGCGCACUUGGUUUGGGACCAAGGGGCCGCAGGUUCGAAUCCUGUAACCCCGACCA
rnacentral:tRNA from 1 species